AUGCACGCUUGCGGCGUGCCUAAUACCUGCAAGUCGAGCGAACAGACGAGGAGCUUGCUCCUCUGACGUUAGCGGCGGACGGGUGAGUAACACGUGGAUAACCUACCUAUAAGACUGGGAUAACUUCGGGAAACCGGAGCUAAUACCGGAUAAUAUAUUGAACCGCAUGGUUCAAUAGUGAAAGACGGUUUUGCUGUCACUUAUAGAUGGAUCCGCGCCGCAUUAGCUAGUUGGUAAGGUAACGGCUUACCAAGGCAACGAUGCGUAGCCGACCUGAGAGGGUGAUCGGCCACACUGGAACUGAGACACGGUCCAGACUCCUACGGGAGGCAGCAGUAGGGAAUCUUCCGCAAUGGGCGAAAGCUUGACGGAGCAACGCCGCGUGAGUGAUGAAGGUCUUCGGAUCGUAAAACUCUGUUAUUAGGGAAGAACAAAUGUGUAAGUAACUAUGCACGUCUUGACGGUACCUAAUCAGAAAGCCACGGCUAACUACGUG
rnacentral:rRNA from 1 species